AUUUAUGUAGUAUAAAAAUUAUUUUUAAUUUCCAAUUAAAAGAUCUAAAAUUAGCAUAAAUA
rnacentral:tRNA from 1 species